rnacentral:rRNA from 1 species
CUUGGUCAUUUAGAGGAAGUAAAAGUCGUAACAAGGUUUCCGUAGGUGAACCUGCGGAAGGAUCAUUAUUGAAUAAACAUUUGAUAGGCUGUUGCUGGCCCUUCUACGGCAGUGUGCACGCUUGUCAUUUACUUGUUUAUUUUUCCACCUGUGCACCUUUUUGUAGACCUUAGAUUUUUGGGACUGCUGUCUCUCUCUAGGUUCUAUGUUCUUCACAUACUCCUAUGAAUGUAAUAGAAUGUUGAUCUGGGUCUUUGAUGCCCAUAAAAGUUAUAUACAACUUUCAGCAAUGGAUCUCUUGGCUCUCGCAUCGAUGAAGAACGCAGCGAAAUGCGAUAAGUAAUGUGAAUUGCAGAAUUCAGUGAAUCAUCGAAUCUUUGAACGCAUCUUGCGCUCCUUGGUAUUCUGAGGAGCAUGCCUGUUUGAGUGUCAUUAAAUUCUCAACUACGCUGACUUUGAUUGGUGUGGCUUGGAUUUGGGGGGGAAAUUGUUGUGGGCUUUUUUGUAGUCUGCUCCCCUGAAAUUAAUUAGCAGUAACCUUGGUGGAACUGUCUACAGGUGUGAUAAUUAUCUACACCCUAGACAUCUGCUUAAUGCUGCUUUUCUAAACCUUACCUGUAUUGACAAUCUUGACCUCAAAUCAGGUAGGACUACCCGCUGAACUUAAGCAUAUCAAUAAGCGGAGGA